rnacentral:rRNA from 1 species
CCUACGGGAGGCAGCAGUGAGGAAUAUUGGUCAAUGGACGAGAGUCUGAACCAGCCAAGUAGCGUGAAGGAUGACUGCCCUAGGGGCUGUAAACUUCGUUUAUAAAGGAAUAAAACGAGGCACGUGUGCCUUUUUGCAUGUACUUUAUGAAUAAGGAUCGGCUAACUCCGUGCCAGCAGCCGCGGUAAUACGGAGGUUCCGAGCGUUAUCCGGAUUGAUUGGGUUUAAAGGGAACGUAGCUGGGUUUUUAAUUUAGUUGUGAAAGUUUGCGGCUCAACCGUAAAAUUGCAAUGGAUACUGGCAGUCUUGAGUACAGUUGAGGUAAGCGGAAUUCGUGGUGUAGCGGUGAAAUGCUUAGAUAUCACGAAGAACCCCGAUUGCGAAGGCAGCUUACUAAUCUGUGACUGACAUUGAUGCUCGAAAGUGUGGGUAUCAAACAGGAUUAGAUACCCGGGUAGUC